CUGAGUUGCAAAACUCCCAAACCCACGCGUACCUACCUAUGUCGUUGCUUCGGCGGCGCCGUCCCCAGGUGCUCCGGCACCGCGGGGCGCCCGCCGGAGGUUCUAAACUCUCUGUAUCAUUGUGGACUCUCUGAGAAAACAUACCAAUAAUCA
rnacentral:misc_RNA from 1 species